rnacentral:rRNA from 1 species
GAUAAACGCUGGCGGCGUGCCUAAUACAUGCAAGUCGAGCGAACGGACGAGAAGCUUGCUUCUCUGAUGUUAGCGGCGGACGGGUGAGUAACACGUGGAUAACCUACCUAUAAGACUGGGAUAACUUCGGGAAACCGGAGCUAAUACCGGAUAAUAUUUUGAACCGCAUGGUUCAAAAGUGAAAGACGGUCUUGCUGACACUUAUAGAUGGAUCCGCGCUGCAUUAGCUAGUUGGUAAGGUAACGGCUUACCAAGGCAACGAUGCAUAGCCGACCUGAGAGGGUGAUCGGCCACACUGGAACUGAGACACGGUCCAGACUCCUACGGGAGGCAGCAGUAGGGAAUCUUCCGCAAUGGGCGAAAGCCUGACGGAGCAACGCCGCGUGGGUGAUGAAGGUCUUCGGAUCGUAAAACUCUGUUAUUAGGGAAGAACAUAUGUGUAAGUAACUGUGCACAUCUUGACGGUACCUAAUCAGAAAGCCACGGCUAACUACGUGCCAGCAGCCGCGGUAAUACGUAGGUGGCAAGCGUUAUCCGGAAUUAUUGGGCGUAAAGCGCGCGUAGGCGGUUUUUUAAGUCUGAUGUGAAAGCCCACGGCUCAACCGUGGAGGGUCAUUGGAAACUGGAAAACUUGAGUGCAGAAGAGGAAAGUGGAAUUCCAUGUGUAGCGGUGAAAUGCGCAGAGAUAUGGAGGAACACCAGUGGCGAAGGCGACUUUCUGGUCUGUAACUGACGCUGAUGUGCGAAAGCGUGGGGAUCAAACAGGAUUAGAUACCCUGGUAGUCCACGCCGUAAACGAUGAGUGCUAAGUGUUAGGGGGUUUCCGCCCCUUAGUGCUGCAGCUAACGCAUUAAGCACUCCGCCUGGGGAGUACGACCGCAAGGUUGAAACUCAAAGGAAUUGACGGGGACCCGCACAAGCGGUGGAGCAUGUGGUUUAAUUCGAAGCAACGCGAAGAACCUUACCAAAUCUUGACAUCCUUUGACAACUCUAGAGAUAGAGCCUUCCCCUUCGGGGGACAAAGUGACAGGUGGUGCAUGGUUGUCGUCAGCUCGUGUCGUGAGAUGUUGGGUUAAGUCCCGCAACGAGCGCAACCCUUAAGCUUAGUUGCCAUCAUUAAGUUGGGCACUCUAAGUUGACUGCCGGUGACAAACCGGAGGAAGGUGGGGAUGACGUCAAAUCAUCAUGCCCCUUAUGAUUUGGGCUACACACGUGCUACAAUGGACAAUACAAAGGGCAGCGAAACCGCGAGGUCAAGCAAAUCCCAUAAAGUUGUUCUCAGUUCGGAUUGUAGUCUGCAACUCGACUACAUGAAGCUGGAAUCGCUAGUAAUCGUAGAUCAGCAUGCUACGGUGAAUACGUUCCCGGGUCU